rnacentral:lncRNA from 1 species
CCUCCAAAAAAUCCUCUGCAGUGCUGACAGUUGCAUCAACUGAUUUGCAUUUUUCACUGCAUUCUCCCUGCAGCUUGUCAUCAGAAGCCAAAUGACACUCCACACAGCUCCGUCUGGAACUGCAAGGGUCACCACACAGAGGGCAUUUUUCACAGGUUUGGCCUGAAGCCCCUGGAUGUAUGCAUACACACGACCCGCAGAUGCAUUCGCCUCUCCCACUGCACAGCGUUCCAUCCUCAGAAAUGCAGGAGUUGGUGUCAGUUGUGCAAUUACAGUAUUCACCAGUCCAUCCACUGUGGCACACGCAUUCACCACAG